rnacentral:tRNA from 1 species
UCCCUGGUGGCUCAGAGAGUAAAGUGUCUGCCUGUCAUGCAGGAGAUCUGGGUUUGAUUCCCAUGUUGGGAA